CCUACGGGCGGCAGCAGUCGAGAAUCAUUCACAAUGGGGGAAACCCUGAUGGGGCGACGCCGCGUGGGGGAAUGAAGGUCUGCGGAUUGUAAACCCCUGUCAUGUGGGAGCAAAUUAAAAAGAGAGUACCACAAGAGGAAGAGACUGCGAACUCGGGGCCAGCAGCCGCGGUAAUACAGAGGUCUCAAGCGUUGUUCGGAACCACUGGGCGUAAAGGGUGCGUAGGCUGUUCCGUAAGUCGUGUGUGAAAGGCGCGGGCUCAACCCGCGGACGGCACCUGAUACUGCGAGACUAGAGUACUGGUGGGGCAACCGGCAUUCUCGGUGUAGCCG
rnacentral:rRNA from 1 species